GAUGAACGCUGGCGGCGUGCCUAAUACAUGCAAGUCGAGCGAACAGACGAGGAGCUUGCUCCUCUGACGUUAGCGGAGGACGGGUGAGUAACACGUGGAUAACCUACCUAUAAGACUGGGAUAACUUCGGGAAACCGGAGCUAAUACCGGAUAAUAUAUUGAACCGCAUGGUUCAAUAGUGAAAGACGGUUUUGCUGUCACUUAUAGAUGGAUCCGCGCCGCAUUAGCUAGUUGGUAAGGUAACGGGUUACCAAGGCAACGAUGCGUAGCCGACCUGAGAGGUGGGUCGGCCACACUGGAGCUUAACCACGGUCCAGACUCCUACGGGAGGCAGCAGUAUGGAAUCUUCCGCAGUGGGCGAAAGCCUGACGGAGCAACGCCGCGUGAGUUAUGAAGGUCUUCGGAUCGUAAUACUCUGUUAUUAGUGAAGAACAAAUGUGUAAGUAACUAUGCACGUCUUGACGGUACCUAAUCAGAAAGCCACGGCUAACUACGUG
rnacentral:rRNA from 1 species